CACUGGGACUGAGACACGGCCCAGACUCCUACGGGAGGCAGCAGUGGGGAAUUUUGGACAAUGGGGGCAACCCUGAUCCAGCCAUGCCGCGUGUCUGAAGAAGGCCUUCGGGUUGUAAAGGACUUUUGUCAGGGAGGAAAUCCCUAAGGCUAAUACCCUUGGGGGAUGACAGUACCUGAAGAAUAAGCACCGGCUAACUACGUGCCAGCAGCCGCGGUAAUACGUAGGGUGCAAGCGUUAAUCGGAAUUACUGGGCGUAAAGCGUGCGCAGGCGGUUUGAAAAGUCAGCUGUGAAAGCC
rnacentral:rRNA from 1 species